GUGGGGAAUAUUGGACAAUGGGCGAAAGCCUGAUCCAGCAACGCCGCGUGAGGGAUGACGGCCUUCGGGUUGUAAACCUCUUUCAGCAGGGCCGAAGCGAAAGUGACGGUACCUGCAGAAGAAGCACCGGCCAACUACGUGCCAGCAGCCGCGGUAAUACGGAGGGGGCUAGCGUUGUUCGGAAUUACUGGGCGUAAAGCGCACGUAGGCGGCUUUGUAAGUUAGAGGUGAAAGCCCGGGGCUCAACUCCGGAAUUGCCUUUAAGACUGCAUCGCUAGAAUUGUGGAGAGGUAAGUGGAAUUCCGAGUGUAGAGGUGAAAUUCGUAGAUAUUAGGAAGAACACCAGUGGCGAAGGCGGCUCACUGGUCCGGUACUGACGCUGAGGUGCGAAAGCGUGGGGAGCAAAC
rnacentral:rRNA from 1 species